rnacentral:rRNA from 1 species
UUGAACGCUGGCGGUAUGCCUAACACAUGCAAGUCGGACGGCAGCGGGGGCUUCGGCCUGCCGGCGAGUGGCGGACGGGUGAGUAACGCAUAGGAAUCUGCCUGGUAGUGGGGGACAACUUAGGGAAACUUAAGCUAAUACCGCAUACGCCCCACGGGGGAAAGCGGGGGACCUUCGGGCCUCGCGCUAUCAGAUGAGCCUAUGUUGGAUUAGCUUGUUGGUGGGGUAAGGGCCCACCAAGGCUGCGAUCCAUAGCUGGCCUGAGAGGGUGGCCAGCCACACUGGGACUGAGACACGGCCCAGACUCCUACGGGAGGCAGCAGUGGGGAAUAUUGGACAAUGGGCGGAAGCCUGAUCCAGCAAUACCGCGUGUGUGAAGAAGGCCUGAGGGUUGUAAAGCACUUUCACUGGGGAGGAAAAAGGCGGGCUUAACACGUUUGCCCUUGACAUUACCCAGAGAAGAAGCACCGGCUAACUCCGU